UUCUACAGCUGUGCCACCCUAAAUAUGCCUGAUUUUGUCUGAUCUUGGAAGCUAAGAAGAGUCUGGCCUUGUUAGUACUUGGAUGGGAGACCACUUAGGAAUACCAAGGGCUGCAGGUG
rnacentral:rRNA from 1 species